rnacentral:rRNA from 1 species
AGUGAACGCUGGCGGUAGGCCUAACACAUGCAAGUCGAACGGCAGCACAGUAAGAGCUUGCUCUUACGGGUGGCGAGUGGCGGACGGGUGAGGAAUACAUCGGAAUCUACUUUUUCGUGGGGGAUAACGUAGGGAAACUUACGCUAAUACCGCAUACGAACUACGGGUGAAAGCAGGGGAUCUUCGGACCUUGCGCGAUUGAAUGAGCCGAUGUCGGAUUAGCUAGUUGGCGGGGUAAAGGCCCACCAAAGCGACGAUCCGUAGCUGGUAUGAGAGGAUGAUCGGCCACACUGGAACUGAGACACGGUCCAGACUCCUACGGGAGGCAGCAGUGGGGAAUAUUGGACAAUGGGCGCAAGCCUGAUCCAGCCAUACCGCGUGGGUGAAGAAGGCCUUCGGGUUGUAAAGCCCUUUUGUUGGGAAAGAAAAGCAGCAGGUUAAUACCCCGCUGUUCUGACGGUACCAAAAGAAUAAGCACCGGCUAACUUCGUG